UACGAAGGGGGCUAGCGUUGCUCGGAAUUACUGGGCGUAAAGCGCACGUAGGCGGUCUUUUAAGUCGGGGGUGAAAUCCUGGAGCUCAACUCCAGAACUGCCUUCGAUACUGGAAGACUUGAGUCCGGGAGAGGUGAGUGGAACUGCGAGUGUAGAGGUGAAAUUCGUAGAUAUUCGGAGGAACACCAGUGGCGAAGGCGGCUCACUGGUCUGGUACUGACGCUGAGGUGCGAAAGCGUGGGGAGCAAACAGGGAUUAAGAAACCCGUGUAC
rnacentral:rRNA from 1 species